AGCUUACUCGAGCCUAGCACUCCUCAUAUUCCUUUAAAAACACCGAAAUAUAACGUUAUUCAGUAGUGAGUGCGAGAGUGUGUUGCCACUCAACCGAAGCUCGUGUUUUGCUGAGUGGGCACGCGCUCUGCUCUACUCUUCACUACGUCACGCCCGCCCGGGUGUGCUGCUGACUGCGGGCGCAGCGACAUCAUGCRGUUGGAGCGCUAGACACGCCGUUUUAAAGGGCUAGCCUCACUGUGCUGUGCRGUUCUCUCUCUCCCUCCCUGCCCUCUGUGUGCUGCUGAUUCAUCACGAUUAGGUGGUUAGCCAGCCUGCCAGCCAUAGGCUACARGCACAAGCCAUGCCAGCCAGACUGAGUGGGGGCUUUCAUAGCUAAAGUAGACAAAGAAAGGGCUUGCUUGUCAUACGUAGGCUAGGCUAUAGCAUCGCACUACAGUGCAGAGAACAACAUGUGUGGCGGUUGGGAAUAUUUUUGAUAACUUCAUUGCGAGAUAGAUUGAUCAUAUCGAGAGUUACGGGGGGACUGGGAAUCCCCCCCUGGUUUUCAGAAAUCAGACAUCGUAAAUCGGUUUACAUAGAGUAGCCUAGCUAGAUAAGGAAGAGGAAGAUAUAUCGUGGAUUAGAGGUGUGUAGCCGAGUUGGAACUGUCUAGAAAACGUGAUUAUAGGUUAGGUGGCUGGAGAGAUUCACAGCAGAACUGUCCGAGUGUUCGAGUGCUGAAACGGAAGCAACCGGAGCGGAAAACGGGCCGCACUGGAUAGGGACGCAACAACCGCGAGCGCGGUCAGCGUGUGUCUGUCUGUUGCUAUUUCAGAGGAAGGAGAGAUGAGAGGGUCGAGAGAAGGGAU